UGAACGCUGGCGGUAUGCUUAACACAUGCAAGUCGAACGGAAACGAUACUAGCUUGCUAGUAGGCGUCGAGUGGCGGACGGGUGAGUAACGCGUAGGAAUCUGCCUGAUAGUGGGGGAUAGCCCGAAGAAAUUCGGAUUAAUACCGCAUAAUCUAUUCGUAGUAAAGUGGGGGACUUUCGAGCCUCACGCUAUCAGAUGAGCCUGCGUAAGAUUAGCUUGUUGGUAGGGUAAAAGCCUACCAAGGCGACGAUCUUUAGCUGGUCUGAGAGGAUGAUCAGCCACAUCGGGACUGAGACACGGCCCGAACUCCUACGGGAGGCAGCAGUGGGGAAUAUUGGACAAUGGGGGCAACCCUGAUCCAGCAAUACCGCGUGUGUGAAGAAGGCCUGAGGGUUGUAAAGCACUUUCAAUUGUGAAGAAAAGUUAGCGGUUAAUAACCGUUAGCCUUGACGUUAACUUUAGAAGAAGCACCGGCUAACUCCGUGCCAGCAGCCGCGGUAAUACGGAGGGUGCAAGCGUUAAUCGGAAUUACUGGGCGUAAAGCGUGCGUAGGUGGUUUAUUAAGUCAGAUGUGAAAGCCCCGGGCUUAACCUGGGAACUGCAUUUGAAACUGGUCAACUAGAGUAUGGUAGAGGAAAGUGGAAUUUCUGGUGUAGCGGUGAAAUGCGUAGAUAUCAGAAAGGAACAUCAAUGGCGAAGGCAGCUUUCUGGACCAAUACUGACACUGAGGUACGAAAGCGUGGGUAGCAAACAGGAUUAGAUACCCUGGUAGUCCACGCCGUAAACGAUGAUAACUAGCCGUUGGGGGGAUUUACCCUUUAGUGGCGAAGCUAACGCGUUAAGUUAUCCGCCUGGGGAGUACGGCCGCAAGGUUAAAACUCAAAGGAAUUGACGGGGACCCGCACAAGCGGUGGAGCAUGUGGUUUAAUUCGAUGCAACGCGAAGAACCUUACCUGGUCUUGACAUCCUGCGAACUUUCUAGAAAUAGAUUGGUGCCUUCGGGAACGCAGUGACAGGUGCUGCAUGGCUGUCGUCAGCCCGUGUCGUGAGAUGUUGGGUUAAGUCCCGUAACGAGCGCAACCCCUAUCCUUAUUUGCCAGCACAUCAUGGUGGGAACUAUAAGGAGACUGCCGGUGAUAAACCGGAGGAAGGCGGGGACGACGUCAAGUCAUCAUGGCCCUUACGACCAGGGCUACACACGUGCUACAAUGGGAAGGACAAAGAGCCGCGAAGCCGCGAGGUGUAGCUAAUCUCAUAAACCUUUUCGUAGUCCGGAUUGGAGUCUGCAACUCGACUCCAUGAAGUCGGAAUCGCUAGUAAUCGUAGAUCAGAAUGCUACGGUGAAUACGUUCCCGGGUCUUGUACUCACCGC
rnacentral:rRNA from 1 species